rnacentral:lncRNA from 1 species
AUAGCAUCACUGCAUAUUGUACAAUGCAGUGAUGCUAUCACCGAAUUUAUGAUUGAAUUCUUCAUCAUUGGAUAGAAUUUUACAAUACUAAAUAAGAUGAUUAUAUCACCUAAUUUACAUUGCUAGGGUAAUAUGAAAUAUCAUCUUCUACCAAACAUUACCUAAGAGAAUGCAUAUCCUACAAACAAAGAGCCAUAAUUUUCUUUAACUGUCAACAU